rnacentral:rRNA from 1 species
AGAAUCAACGCUGGCGGCGUGCCUAACACAUGCAAGUCGAACGAGAAAGGGGUAGCAAUACCCUGAGUAAAGUGGCGCACGGGUGAGUAACACGUGACUAACCUACCCUUGAGUGGGGGAUAACUGAGGGAAACCUUAGCUAAUACCGCAUAAUACCCACGGGUCAAAGGAGCAAUUCGCUCGAGGAGGGGUCGCGGCCGAUUAGUUAGUUGGCGGGGUAAUGGCCCACCAAGACGAUGAUCGGUAUCCGGCCUGAGAGGGCGCACGGACACACUGGAACUGAAACACGGUCCAGACUCCUACGGGAGGCAGCAGUGGGGAAUUUUGCGCAAUGGGGGAAACCCUGACGCAGCAACGCCGCGUGGAGGAUGAAGUCCUUCGGGACGUAAACUCCUUUCGAUCGGGACGAUUAUGACGGUACCGGAAGAGAAGCCCCGGCUAACUUCGUGCCAGCAGCCGC